rnacentral:lncRNA from 1 species
AUUCACUCACAAAUGAAAAGCUUACAAUGAAUCUCACACCACUAAGACUACAAAUCUUCCUUAUAGGGUAUUUUCUCACUAAAAUCACUCUAGAUCUUUUGUAUCUUUAGUGUGUCAAAGUUGUUUGAAGUAUCUGACCAACCACUAUUUAUAUAGGACCAAGAAAGUGCCACAUUAAUGCUUCCAACGGAUAGAAAGUAGCUGAAGAGUCAACUAGCCAUUGGAGUAUCGGACAUCCGAUACUCCUGUUUUUUGCGUCCGACAGU